ensembl:lncRNA
CCUACUUCUCAAACUCAGGAAUUAGUAGCUAUAGAAUAAAGGACAAACUUGUCAUGGACUGCGACCCAUCACAGCCCAUAUUGGCCCCAUUGAACACAACUGUUCCCGUUUCAGUUGUUCUCUUUCCCAUGCCCGUCCUGUUGCAUUGGUCUGCUCCCAGGGAUCCCUUGGAAGCCGGAAGCCGGAAGCUGGAAGCCGGAAGCCGGAAGCCAGAAGCCGGUGGUUGUUCCAACUUCCUUUGCUGUGCCAUCAGCACUCGUGUGUUCCUGCGUACUGCAGCAUGUUUUCUAUCGUGCCGUCGUUAUUUGCCUGACUACCUCACCAGAUUGCGAGCAGAUUACACCGUGCCUUCCUCCUUGACUUCCUCCCUUUGCUCCUUCCCUAGAAGAGCCCUUUGUAGGCUCUCAGUUAAGGUUUAUUUAAUUGAACUAUAUUUUAAAGCACAAAUCCGGUGCCAGAAUUUUAAAGUGGUAGGAGAAGGCCAUAAAUGGAAUUCUCUAAAAAAACAAACAGGAAACAAACAACACACAGGCACACACUAACUACAGGUGGGUGGCUCACUGUUGAUUUUAUCAGCCAAAUAAAAGAUUUACAAAAACGUUGAAGAGAUGGAGCAGAGGAAUGAAAACUUGAUAUUUAAAGAAACAUAGAAUGAAAUCUAAGGCACAUUUUGGAAAGCUAGAACAGAAAAACAAUGCUAGAACAGAAAAACAAUCCUGGAACAGGCUUUCAUACACAAGCUGUACUCUAGAGAGGCAAACAAGGCGUAGGAGGAUUAGAGAUAAGGAAAAUGAGCACAGAGUCCAGGCCUGCCCAGUACACCGCAGGAGGAGUUACUGGCACCUCCAUGCAGGUGGGGAGGGUGCUGUGCCUUUGAGCCUUGGGCAAGUUGACAAACAGUCCAGGUGCAGGUGGCUUGGACCAACUACAUGGAAAUCAACGGAGAUGCCUGGAUUUUGUUCCCCUGCAUUCAAGGAGACACAACUAUGGAAAUUUUACUGGAUAAACUCCCAGGUUUUGCAGAAGAAUCAAAUCCUGAGUGAACAGAUACUGUGGCCUGUGAAACCAAAGAGAGAUGCUGAACGUUUCAAGUCAUUUGGUGUCCGUGGACCAAACCCUGUGGAGGAACAGCCUUGUGGAGUGGAGGUGACCCCGGCUCACUCAGCCAGGCUGGCGUUGGCUUCCACUGCGCUUCAAACCCUGUGUUUACUCUGAAGUCCCACAUUUGCUUUGCAACAGCCUGAUCAUCAAAGCAGACAAAAACACAUCUGGCUGCAAAUCUCCAAACUGAUGUUUCCAAAUUUUCUCCCACUCCUCUGACUUGGAAUCACAAAAAAUUAAAAUUGUGCUUUUCCUGAAGGUUCACAAGCUGAAGCUAGUCUACCUAAUAAGUAGACUCCAGAAGAAUCACUGUGAUGGUUUGUAUAUUGACAACCUUUAUGAUAUUUAAACUGCAAACCAGGAUAAUCUGUCAGAUUGUUACUGCAUACCCUGCUCCAACUAAAGAUGCCCAGACCAGAUUUAAAAAUAUUCUCAGCUGAGGGCCCUCCAGUUGCAGACUAGAUUAUAUACUGCUCCCUAGAAAAGUCUCUUAUUAAAUAACCUGUAUGUUUGCACCAUAUCAAGACCUAGCCUUGAUGGAAGUCCUACUAUCUCCUCAAAUAGUUACAAUUGUUUAAUUGGAUAGGCCAGGAAUGGGAGAUGGGUUUAAUGGUAUCCUUUGCCACUUAGCUUCUAACUGAAAUUCUGUCUCUCCAGCCACCAAUUCAGCUUUUAGUAUGUGUGUGAAGCUUCUAGGGAAGUUUCAGACCAGGGAAUGGCAGAGCACAGAGACUGAUA